GGAUCAUUGUCGAAAUCGAACGGAAGAACGACCCGCGAAUCGUCAUUGCGUAGUAGACAGAGCCCGUGAGCACCUAACGCUCAUGGGUCUCGCGUCGCGUCGGCGCGGGUGUACUCGAGACCCGCGUCGUACCGGCGGACAAACAACGUCAGCACGGAUCGUGCCAAGGAGCUGCAUGGAGAGAAUCGUCGUCCCACGCCUUUGAUAGUCCUCGACGCGGGACGGGGGACGCACGCAAUCUCUACACAAAAGUCUAAACGACUCUCGGCAACGGAUAUCUCGGCUCUUGCAUCGAUGAAGAACGUAGCGAAAUGCGAUACUUGGUGUGAAUUGCAGAAUCCCGUGAACCAUCAAUUCUUUGAACGCAAGUUGCGCCCGAAGCCAUUCGGCCGAGGGCACGCCUGCCUGGGCGUCGUGAAUCCCCUUGCCCCUAGGCACCCGCAUGAGCAUUGGCGGGGACAUAUGCUCGGGCGCAGAAUAUGGUCUCCCGUGGGAUCGGCAUGCACGGCAUGUCGAGGUGCGGUUGGCCGAAAAUCGAGCAUGGCGGUGACGGGCACCACGGCGUUCGGUGGAUCGAAUGAGAUUGGCUGCGUCGUGGGCUCGGCAUGCGGCGGGCUCCGGACUUUGAAUAUCCCCGAGUGCGAUCCCAGGUCAGGCGGGGCUACCCGCUGAGUUUAAGCAUAUCAAUAAGCGGAGGAAAAGAAACUAACGAGGAUUCCCUUAGUAGCGGC
rnacentral:rRNA from 1 species